rnacentral:rRNA from 1 species
AUUGAACGCUGGCGGCAGGCCUAACACAUGCAAGUCGAGCGGAUGAAGGGAGCUUGCUCCUGGAUUCAGCGGCGGACGGGUGAGUAAUGCCUAGGAAUCUGCCUGGUAGUGGGGGAUAACGUCCGGAAACGGGCGCUAAUACCGCAAACGUCCUGAGGGAGAAAGUGGGGGAUCUUCGGACCUCACGCUAUCAGAUGAGCCUAGGUCGGAUUAGCUAGUUGGUGGGGUAAAGGCCUACCAAGGCGACGAUCCGUAACUGGUCUGAGAGGAUGAUCAGUCACACUGGAACUGAGACACGGUCCAGACUCCUACGGGAGGCAGCAGUGGGGAAUAUUGGACAAUGGGCGAAAGCCUGAUCCAGCCAUGCCGCGUGUGUGAAGAAGGUCUUCGGAUUGUAAAGCACGUUAAGUUGGGAGGAAGGGCAGUAAGUUAAUACCUUGCUGUUUUGACGGUACCAACAGAAUAAGCACCGGCUAACUUCGUG